AUGGCAAGAUGUCCCAUCAAGUGGCAUUCACUUGAUCAUUUUUAUCACACGUCUGUAUCUGCUUCCAUAGUGGCUCUUCAGCUGCCAGGACGCUGGUGGUGCUAUUGGUUGGCCUAUGCAUCUGGCCUUUGCCUCAUGGUGGUCACCCAUACUGCCAUCCUCUGGAACAGAAAUAUUUCCUCUUCCAUCCCCAAGAUGAAGCAAUGCCAUUACCCAUUGUGACCCCUACUUCUCACUCAUGCCUGUGGAAAGCAAGACCUUUUGGGAAACAUGAUUGAAGUCUGAGUUACAAGAUGGACAGGGAGGCACCCCCUGCAUUGUUCCCACGUGGAGAAAGACUGAGGCCCAAUCUUGUCUGGGUUUACAUUCUUACAUACCCUCACUGCUGAAACUACAACUUCAGAAGGAAAACCAGCUGUGACGUCUGACAAGGGUGUGAAGUCUCUGGUGCAUGUGGGCAGCUCACAGAUGCACCAGCCUAGGGAGAGGGUGACUGGGGAAACUUCCCAAAGCGGGACUUGCUGCCUUCAAAGAGGGCACGGCAAUGCACACCUGAGGGUUGCUGCUGCAAUGAGCUUGGUGCUCUUGUGCCCAAGGACAGCAUGAAAGAGAUGA
rnacentral:lncRNA from 1 species